rnacentral:rRNA from 1 species
UAGGGAAUCUUUCCACAAUGGGCGCAAGCCUGAUGGAGCAACACCGCGUGAGUGAAGAAGGGUUUCGGCUCGUAAAGCUCUGUUGUUGGAGAAGAACGUGCGUGAGAGUAACUGUUCACGCAGUGACGGUAUCCAACCAGAAAGUCACGGCUAACUACGUGCC